UAGGGCUGCGCGCAGCUGAUGCAGCAUGCUGCGUGUGUGAGAUGCUUCGGGUUGUAAGUCUGUCGCGAGGACGACAGGCUGAGGUUAAUACCCGCGGCCUUGACGGUACUCGCCUAAAAGCACGGCUAACUACGUGCCAGCAGCCGCGGUAAU
rnacentral:rRNA from 1 species